rnacentral:rRNA from 1 species
UCGCUGAACUUAAGCAUAUCAAUAAGCGGAGGAAAAGAAACUAACAAGGAUUCCCCUAGUAACGGCGAGUGAAGCGGGAAGAGCUCAAAUUUGAAAUCUGGCGGUCUCACGGCCGUCCGAGUUGUAGUCUAGAGAGGCGUUAUCCGCGGCGGACCACGUACAAGUCCUUUGGGAUGCGGCGUCAUAGAGGGUGAGAAUCCCGUCCAUGACGUGGACUACCGUCGCUUUGCGUUGCGCCUUCGAAGAGUCGAGUUGUUUGGGAAUGCAGCUCAAAACGGGUGGUAAAUUCCAUCUAAAGCUAAAUACAGGCGAGAGACCGAUAGCGAACAAGUACCGUGAGGGAAAGAUGAAAAGAACUUUGGAAAGAGAGUUAAACAGUACGUGAAAUUGCUGAAAGGGAAACGCUUGGAGUCAGUCGCGUCCUCGAGGAUUCAGCCCGGCUUUUGUCGGGUGCACUUCCUCUGGGGACGGGCCAGCAUCAGUUUCGAGCGUCGAAGAAUGGCGGGAGGAAUGUGGCACCUUCGGGUGUGUUAUAGCCUCCCGUCGGACGCGACGCUCGGGACUGAGGACCGCUUNGAUAGGAUGCUGGCGUAAUGGCUUUAAACGACCCGUCUUGAAACACGG